UUUGCUAUUCUUGAUUGAAAAGAAAGCUCAUUUAUCAUUGAAAAUAGAUGAAGUCUGUUUAUUGAUGUUGUUCAGUUGUACUUGUGUGUGUGUGUCUCAGAUAAUUUUAAUUGUAUAACCGAUAAGUAUAAUUAAUGUCGAUAAGUUGACAGUGUAUGAUGUUAAUGAAGACGAAAAGUCAAUCAAGAUUGUUAAUGGUUUACACUGAACAUGUAUGAAGCAUUUGUUCAUCAUCUUCAAUCAUUGAGGCCAUCUUGGUGAACAAGAUUAAUUAGUCGAUACAUGUAAUUUUUAGGUGUAAGUUGGACAAGUGAAUCGGAAAUGGCAAUUAAUUUAAUCUCUUAAACUUUGAUAUAUUGAUCUUGUUUCAAUAAUUGCCAUCGAUACAUUGAUUUCUUGAACUUUGAUUUCACUUUACAUGUGAUUACCCAAAUUGACCAUAUUGUAAAUAACCACAAAUGCUUAAGGUUAAUUUUAAUUCACUGUUAAUUUAUUUUCAUCCUUUACCUGGGUUAUUGUAAUCAGUUAAACAUUAUUUACAGAUCCUGUUAACUUUAAUUGAAGUGUAAUUGUGUCUCAAUGUAAUUAAAGAAAAUUAAUAAUAAUGUUAACUCGGCAAGAAAACAAAAAGAGUAGCUGGUUACCUAAGCAAAGUUACAGCAGCCAACAGCAGCAACAGCUUACAACAUUUUAACCCCUUCUGGCUAUUAAAAUGAUCCUAAUCAGCAAAGAGUUUCAAAGUAAAAUAUGUGCUACUCUCACAGCAUCAACUAGCCCAAUUAUCUUAUCAUCCUGAUCUUCACCAUCUUGGCCAUCUUCAUCCUCCUCAUCAUCUCCAUCAUCGGUGUAUAUUAAGGUUAUAGACCCACAGUUCCCAGGUCCAUUACUUGAUUAUAUCAUCUCAUCUUAGAUGGUUCGGCUACAACAAUCAACCUCAUGAUAUAACGUAAAGUUAUACUCAACAUGCGUCAUUGAAACUUGACUGGUUAAAGCAUUGGAAGAGAGCAAAAAAGAUACAAUUUUUUGGCGACCAAAUUUUUCUUUGGGUUCCUAUCUUCACUUUCCCAUAAGUUCAACUAUUAUCAUCAACAUGAUGAUUAUCAACUAAUACAUGUUUCAAGAAAACAUAAAUAAGACUUCAAACACACAGCAAGCAAGCAAGCAAAAGAUGGUUCCUGAAGCAACAACAUACAAAGCCUAAAACGCCCAGAAACCUUGACUUUCAAUGAAAGUUAAUCAUAAGUCUUUUUUUCUCGCAAAUUUAUGCCUUUUCCAGCCAUUUUUUAAAAUAUAUUGAAGGUCAACUUUCAUUUUGAUAUCAUUAUUGUUACUGGUGAUUACUAUUGUUGAUGUUAAUAUUAUCAUGAUUAACCAUUGAUCGUUUCUAGUAAUCAUUGUAAUCACAAUGAUUCCGCUCCCAAGCAAAUUACUUGCGUCCGUUCAUUGGACUUGUCCCAUUAGGUUGUUACAAAAAGAUACAUGUGAAUGAAAUGGGAAAAGGUCAAUGAAUGCUCAUAAUUCACCUGUAACACACCAACAAUCAACAUAACCUUGUUAAUGCUAAUCUCAAUUUUGCAGCUAUUAAUAAGUGUAAACUCAAGUAAUCUAACCCCUCAUGAUUAACAGAUUUCACCUUUAAUUAGUAAUAACUUUCCCAUUGUAAAUAACUUGGACUUUUAAUGGACUCAAUGCAAUGUUGGAAUUCACAAUCAACCUUACCUUAUUAAGCAUUGAUUACAAAUUGACAGUUUAAUUCCUAAUAAAGUAAUCCAUCGGGAAAUCACAUGAGAAUGAAAAAUGAGUUUCCUUUGAUAA